GUUUUUAUAGUUUAAAUUUAAAACAUUGGUCUUGUAAAUCAAAAAUAAUAAUUUUAUUU
rnacentral:tRNA from 1 species